rnacentral:rRNA from 1 species
AUUGAACGCUGGCGGCAGGCCUAACACAUGCAAGUCGAGCGGAUGACGGGAGCUUGCUCCUUGAUUCAGCGGCGGACGGGUGAGUAAUGCCUAGGAAUCUGCCUGGUAGUGGGGGACAACGUUUCGAAAGGAACGCUAAUACCGCAUACGUCCUACGGGAGAAAGCAGGGGACCUUCGGGCCUUGCGCUAUCAGAUGAGCCUAGGUCGGAUUAGCUAGUUGGUGGGGUAAUGGCUCACCAAGGCGACGAUCCGUAACUGGUCUGAGAGGAUGAUCAGUCACACUGGAACUGAGACACGGUACAGACUCCUACGGGAGGCAGCAGUGGGGAAUAUUGGACAAUGGGCGAAAGCCUGAUCCAGCCAUGCCGCGUGUGUGAAGAAGGUCUUCGGAUUGUAAAGCACUUUAAGUUGGGAGGAAGGGUUGUACGUUAAUACCGUGCAAUUUUGACGUUACCGACAGAAUAAGCACCGGCUAACUCUGUGCCAGCAGCCGCCGUAAUAC